rnacentral:rRNA from 1 species
AUGCUUGUCUCAAAGAUUAAGCCAUGCACGUCUGAGAAUAAAGAGUUUUCUCUGAAUCUGCGAAUGGCUCAUUAUAUCAGUUAUAGUUUAUUUGAUAGUCCCUUACUACUUGGAUAACCGUAGUAAUUCUAGAGCUAAUACAUGCAUCAAACCCCAACUGCUUGUCGGAAGGGGUGUAUUUAUUAGAUAGAAACCAAUGCGGGGCAACCCGGUAUUGUGGUGAAUCAUGAUAACUUUGCGGAUCACAGACCUCGUGUCGGCGACGAAUCAUUCAAGUUUCUGCCCUAUCAGCUUUGGAUGGUAGGGUAUUGGCCUACCAUGGCUCCAACGGGUAACGGGGAAUA